CAAAGGCUUGGUCCUAGCUUUACUAUUAUUUAUAAUUAAACUUACACAUGCAAGCAUCCGCACCCCCGUGAGAAUGCCCUUAACCCUCUUAUGAGAUCAAGGAGCUGGUAUCAGGCGCGUAUAAUUCGCCCAUAACACCUUGCUUAGCCACACCCCCAAGGGAAUUCAGCAGUGAUAAACAUUAAGCCAUAAGUGUAAACUUGACUUAGUUAAGAUUUUUAGAGCCGGUAAAACUCGUGCCAGCCACCGCGGUUAUACGAGAGGCCCAAGAUAAUAGAAAUCGGCGUAAAGAGUGGUUAAAUAUUAAAUAACUAAAGUUAAACAUCUUCCAAGCUGUUAUACGCACCCGAAGGUAUGAGACUCAUUUACGAAAGUGACUUUACAAAACUGAAUCCACGAAAGCUAUGAAACAAACUGGGAUUAGAUACCCCACUAUGCAUAGUCUUAAACAAAAGUAUUUUAAUUACAUUAUACUCGCCAGGGUACUACGAGCUUUAGCUUAAAACCCAAAGGACUUGGCGGUGCUUCACACCCACCUAGAGGAGCCUGUUCUAUAACUGAUAACCCCCGUUAAACCUCACCCUAUUUUGCUUAAUCAAUUUAUAUACCGCCGUCGUCAGCUUACCUUAUGAAAGAACAACAGUGAGCAAAACUAGUAAUAACCCAAAACGUCAGGUCGAGGUGUAGUUUAUAAUAGGGGAAGAAAUGGGCUACACUCAUUCAUUAAUGAAUACGGAUGGUAUAUUGAAACAUAAACCUAAAGGAGGAUUUAGCAGUAAGAAGAAAAUAGAGUGUUCCUCUGAAACUGGCUCUGAAGCGCGCACACACCGCCCGUCACUCUCCCUAAUAAUACAAGUAUAAUUUAAUUAAACCUAAAUAAAAUACAAGGGGAGGCAAGUCGUAACAUGGUAAGUGUACCGGAACGGUGUGCUUGGGAUAC
rnacentral:ncRNA from 1 species